CCUACGGGAGGCAGCAGUGGGGAAUAUUGGACAAUGGGCGAAAGCCUGAUCCAGCCAUGCCGCGUGUGUGAAGAAGGCCUUCGGGUUGUAAAGCACUUUCAGUGGGGAAGAAAGCCUUGGGGCUAAUACCCUCGAGGAAGGACAUCACCCACAGAAGAAGCACCGGCUAACUCCGUGCCAGCAGCCGCGGUAAUACGGAGGGUGCGAGCGUUAAUCGGAAUUACUGGGCGUAAAGCGCGCGUAGGCGGUCUGAUAAGCCGGUUGUGAAAGCCCCGGGCUCAACCUGGGAACGGCAUCCGGAACUGUCCGGCUAGAGUGCAGGAGAGGAAGGUAGAAUUCCCGGUGUAGCAGUGAAAUGCGUAGAGAUCGGGAGGAAUACCAGUGGCGAAGGCGGCCUUCUGGACUGACACUGACGCUGAGGUGCGAAAGCGUGGGUAGCAAACAGGAUUAGAUACCCUUGUAGUC
rnacentral:rRNA from 1 species